rnacentral:rRNA from 1 species
GACGAACGCUGGCGGCGCGCUUAACACAUGCAAGUCGAACGGAAACGCCUGCUUUCCCUUGUGGAUUGCGGGUACUCGAGUGGCGAACGGGUGAGUAACACGUGAGUGAUCUGCCCCCAACUUGGGUAUAAGCCUGGGAAACUGGGUCUAAUUCCCGAUAGGACUGCAGGGUGGUGCCUGUGGUGGAAAACGAUUUUCUAGUGGUUGGGGAUGAGCUCGCGGCCUAUCAGCUUGUUGGUGGGGUAAUGGCCUACCAAGGCGGCGACGGGUAGCCGGCCUGGGAGGGUGGACGGCCACAUUGGGACUGAGAUACGGCCCAGACUCCUACGGGAGGCAGCAGUGGGGAAUAUUGCACAAUGGGCGGAAGCCUGAUGCAGCGACGCCGCGUGGGGGAUGACGGCCUUCGGGUUGUAAACUCCUUUCGACCGCGAGGAAGCCACCGGGUUGGAAGGGUGGUGACGGUAGUGGUAGAAGAAGCACCGGCUAACUACGUG